rnacentral:rRNA from 1 species
GAUGAACGCUGGCGGCGUGCUUAACACAUGCAAGUCGAACGGAAAGGCCCAAGCUUGCUUGGGUACUCGAGUGGCGAACGGGUGAGUAACACGUGGGUGAUCUGCCCUGCACUUCGGGAUAAGCCUGGGAAACUGGGUCUAAUACCGGAUAGGACCACAUUUUGGAUGGUGUGGUGGAAAGUUUUUCGGUGUGGGAUGAGCUCGCGGCCUAUCAGCUUGUUGGUGGGGUAAUGGCCUACCAAGGCGUCGACGGGUAGCCGGCCUGAGAGGGUGUACGGCCACAUUGGGACUGAGAUACGGCCCAGACUCCUACGGGAGGCAGCAGUGGGGAAGAUUGCACAAUGGGCGCAAGCCUGAUGCAGCGACGCCGCGUGGGGGAUGACGACCUUCGGGUUGUAAACUCCGUUCGCUAGGGACGAAGCGUUAUGUGACGGUACCUGGAGAAGAAGCACCGGCUAACUACGUG